AUAUUCACAAACACACAUAACACACUCACACGCGCACACACACACACACACACACACACACACACACACACACACACUCACACACUCUCACACACACAUACUUGCAUUUGUGGUUUACGGGGACUCUCCACAGGUGUAAUGGUUUUUAUACUGUACAAACUGUAUUUUCUCUCGCCCGACACCUAUUUUCUUGCUACCCCUAACAGAAAACUACUGGCAGUUUUGGAAUUUCAUAAAACACCGUUUUGUAUGUUUUUUAAGCCUUUUGUUUUACGGGGAUACAGGAAGUGUCCUCAUAUGUUUACGUUGUAGUACCCAUGUCAUUAUACACAUUUGUGUCCUCAUAAACCAUACAGUAUAUACCAGUACACACAGACAGGAAGCAGGAAGCUGAGUUCUCGUGUGUGUGUGUGUGUGUGUGUGUGUGUGUGCAGCGCUGGACUGUAAAGAGCUGAACUCAGACCUGAAGAGCAGCAACACUGUGUCUCUGUCAGAGGAUCCGGAUGCAGAAGCUCAGGACAGCAGCAGGAAGAAGGUAAGCAGCGCAGGAGGAGCGUGUGUGUGUGUGUGUGUGUGUGUGUGUGUAGCUCUGCUCCUCACAUCACUCUGUGUUUCAGAUCCCAAACGACGAUGUCACUGAGAUCUCAGAAGCCACUGAAAUCAUGGACGCCACCGACGUGUCAGAAGUGUCGGAGCUGGAGAACAAGAAGAAGAGUGUGGAAGCGGCUGAAGAUGCUGACGCCGAGCAGCAGCUCAUCGCCUCGUAUAAGUAUGAAGGAGCCACGACCAACAUCCAUCCGUACCUGUCAGCCAUGGUCAACUACGCUCAGCCCGUCAAAUUCCAGAGCUUCGAGGUCGCAGAGGGUCAGUCCAGCGUCCGCAAACGUCACGAUCACUACUAGAGAGAAUAGUACAAAUCAAACCUUUCAAGUCAGAAACACACUGAUACAGUCUGUCACAUACACACGUUUAUUCACUGUUUGGACCAGUGUUGGGGAAAGUUACUUUUAAAGGUACUGCAUUACAAUUUUGCGUUACUCCCCAAAACAGUAGCUAAUUAUGUUACUUUUUAUGGAAAGAACCGUUACUUUUGAGUUACUUUUUAAAUCUGGGCAGGGCUUGCUUGUUUGUUUUUAAUAUAAAAAGUUAUUUUUUAAUAAAUGUAAAGCCCUUUCACA
ensembl:lncRNA